UAAGGGCGCACGGUGGAUGCCUUGGCACUAGAAGCCGAUGAAGGACGUUACUAACGACGAUAUGCUUUGGGGAGCUGUAAGUAAGCUUUGAUCCAGAGAUUUCCGAAUGGGGAAACCCAGCAUGAGUUAUGUCAUGUUAUCGAUAUGUGAAUACAUAGCAUAUCAGAAGGCACACCCGGAGAACUGAAACAUCUUAGUACCCGGAGGAAGAGAAAGAAAAUUCGAUUCCCUUAGUAGCGGCGAGCGAAACGGGAAGAGCCCAAACCAACAAGCUUGCUUGUUGGGGUUGUAGGACACUCUAUACGGAGUUACAAAGGACGACAUUAGACGAAUCAUCUGGAAAGAUGAAUCAAAGAAGGUAAUAAUCCUGUAGUCGAAAAUGUUGUCUCUCUUGAGUGGAUCCUGAGUACGACGGAGCACGUGAAAUUCCGUCGGAAUCUGGGAGGACCAUCUCCUAAGGCUAAAUACUCUCUAGUGACCGAUAGUGAACCAGUACCGUGAGGGAAAGGUGAAAAGCACCCCGGAAGGGGAGUGAAAUAGAACCUGAAACCGUGUGCUUACAAGUAGUCAGAGCCCGUUAAUGGGUGAUGGCGUGCCUUUUGUAGAAUGAACCGGCGAGUUACGAUUUGAUGCAAGGUUAAGCAGUAAAUGUGGAGCCGUAGCGAAAGCGAGUCUGAAUAGGGCGUUUAGUAUUUGGUCGUAGACCCG
rnacentral:rRNA from 1 species